GGAGAGUUGGCCGAGUGGCUGAAGGCGGCGGUUUGCUAAACCGUUGUAGGACCAAAAGUUCUACCGGGGGUUCGAAUCCCCCACUCUCCGCCA
rnacentral:tRNA from 1 species